rnacentral:lncRNA from 1 species
AUAGUUCUUUUUCGUUUGAUAAUCCAUUUUCCACCUAUCUUUAUAUAUUAUAUUUCCUUUUAUGUCAUUUCUGAAUUUCUUAGGAUCUCUAAAAUUGUGUAUAAUAUUUAUUUUUCUAAUUGAAAAUACUGAUAGGAUAGCAUUGGAAAUGUAAAUGAGUUAAAUACCUAAUAAAAAAUGGAAAAAAAAAAAAAAAGAAAAUACUGAUAGGAAACAUGGUAGAUCUUUUAAUUAUUUAAUUUAGGAACUAAAAGACUUCAAAUAUAACACAGUACAGCCUUUAUUUAACCAACUUUUUCUUUUCCUCCAUUUUUUAUUUUUAUGUAUUUUUAAUUGGAAAUAGAUUUUUUUUCACACAAGAUAUUAUUAUGGUAUCUUUUCUUCCUACUCCUCCCAGUUCCUCCCCACAUCUCCUUCCAUCUUGAUCCACCCCAAAUCCUUAGAAAACAAGCUGGCAUCUAAGGAAUAAUAAUAAAGUACAUUAAGAUAAAACAAAACAAAACAAAUUGGAAUAGGACAAAACAACUAAGUGAGAAAAAGAUCCAAAGAAAAACCACAGGAGACGCACAGUUGAGAGACAUGCAUGAAUCUCAUAAAAACGUAAGACUGAAAGCCAUACUAUGUAUGUGAAGGACCUAUAAGGUGAAACAAAGGAUGCCCUGAUGUAACUUUAUGAGAGAGAGCAUCUCCUAAGAUCCCAUUGAGUUUGUUUUGUCCCGGCCAUCUAGGCUGGGCAUGGGGCCUACCUUCAAGUGGUUGGUUUUCCCAGGGAGACUCCCUUGGAGAAAACUCAUUUUUUAUUUGCAAAUGGCUAUCAAUUGGAGAUAGAGUCUUGGUGGAAGCAUGUGUCCACUUUCAGCUCUAGGAGCCCAUCUGGUGCAGCCCCAUGCAGGCUCUGUGCAUGCUGCCACAGUCUCUGUGAGUUCAUCUGUGUGCAGUCCUGUUGAGUCUAGAAGGCCUUCACUCCAUCUCCUCUGCUCUUAUGCUAUCUCUGUCCCCUCUUCCAAAGAGUUCUGCCCUGAGGAGAGGGAUCUGAUGAGAGACGUUUCUUUUGGGCCUGAGUGUUCCUCAAUCUUUCACUUUCUGCAUAUUGUCUGUCUCUGGGUCUAUGUAUUUGUUUAUAUCUGCUGCAGAAAAAAAAAAGCUACUCUAAUAAUGGUUGAGCAAGGCAUGGGUCUAUGAGUACAGCAGAGUGCCAUUUGGAGUCAUGUAUUGCUAUGUUCAUUUCGCAGAGCAGUAGUGCUUGGUUUUCUCCUAGGCCCCUGGCCUGUCUCGUCUCAGAUUCUUGGUUACCCAAACAGAAUUGGGUAUGGCUUUUAUCUCAUGAAGUAGGCCUUAGUUCAAAUUAAAUAUUGGCUGGUUAUCCCACAGGGUUUAGACCACUAUUGCGCUAGCAUAUCUUGUCGACAGGUUAUCAUUAUAUGUCAGAGGUUUGUAGCUGGGUUGUUGGUAUUUACCUUUCUCCUCUGGUGGUGUUCAGAGUACCUCCUGUACUGUAAACUAUAUCAUGGAAGCUAGUUCAUAGGGAGGAAGACUCUAGAUCAGCACCAGCUUGACCUCUCCAUGUUCAAUGACUUGUGUAGCUGUUUCCUUUCAGUUUGUGGAAAGCCAUCAUAUCAACCAUAUCCAUCCAGACUAUUUGCCUUUCCUAGGGAGAUCAGUCCCUCCUUGCUAGUCCCUUAUUCUCUACCUAGCCUCUGUGGUUAUAUGAGUAUUUAGCAUGUUUAUCUUUGACUUAAAUGUAAUAGCCACAUAUAAGCAAUUACAUAUACAUUUGUCUUUCUGGGUCUGAGGCACCUCGCGCAGGAUUUUUUUUUUUCCCCUGCAUUUACCUGUGAAUUUCAUGAUUUCACUUAAAAAAAACCAACAAAACAAAACAAAACAAAACAAAACAAAACAAAAAAACAGUUGAGUUAUAUUCCAUAGUAUAAGCGUACCGUACUUUCUUUACCUAUUGAUCUACUGAAGAUCCAUACAGGUUGUUUCCAAUUUCUGGCAAUUAUGCAUAGAACAAUAAUGAACUUGGCUGAGGAGGUGUCUCUGUAGUUGAAUAAAGUGUCUUUUGAGUAUAUGCUCAAGAGUGGUUAUUUCUGGGUCUUGAGGUAGGUGAAUGACCAUCUCUUCAGGAACCAUCACACUGAUUUCCCUAUGGGAAGUACAAGUUUAGUAUUUUUGAGUUCUUUAUAUAUUUUGGAUAUUAGUCAUUUAUUGGGUGUGUAGUUGGUAAAAAUCUUUUCCCAUUUGUAGGCUGCCACUUUGUUUGAAUGAUAGCGUCCUUUGCCAUACAGAAGCGUUUCGGUUUCAGGAGAUUACAUUUAUUAAUUGUUAAUUUUAGUGCCUUUGGCAUUGGUGUUCCGUUCAGAAGUUCUUUUCCUGUGACAGUAAGUCCAAGACUAUUCCCCACUUUCUCUUCCAUGAGAUUUAGUGUAUCUGGCCUCUUAUUGAAGAGGUCUGGUCUGUGAUCCAUUUUAGUUUUAUGCAGGAUGAUGAGUGUGGGUCUCUUUGCAUUCUUCUCCGUGCACAUGUGCAGCCAUUUAGUUUGACCAGCACAAGUUGUUGAGAAGUUAUUUUUCACCUUGUAUUUCUGGCUUAUUUAAAAAAAAAAUCAGGUUUCUGUGUUUAGACUUAUUUCUGUGUCAUUGAUCAAUAUAUCUGUUAAACCAACCAUUUAACAAGUUAGAAACACCUCAUUACAAUCAAGAACAAGGCACUGUUUAGCAUUUUUCUGGAAGUAGUAACAAAUCUAAUAAGAAUGAGAAAUAAAAAGUAAUGGAUUUUAGGCAAAAUUAUAUAUAUUAUGACUGCCUAAUUUAAAGAUAACUUAAAAUGCAAUUAUUUAAAAGCUAAUGGGUAACUAGUUAAGUUAAGGUAAGAAACAAGUUUGGAUUGGAAGGUAAAUGCUGGAAGAGUCCCACAGGAAGAAGAGCUCAGGCUGCUACAGAGGAGGCUCAGCUGUCUGCCUCACAGACAGGUUCUCACUGAACAACCUGUGUCAGCACAGAGGCAUUCCUAGCCAUCACAAGGACAUUAAACAUGUCUUAAAGGAUGAAAAUGAAACUUCAUUAUUAAUAAUAGAGUCUUAUUACACAGAAUUCAACUGAAAAUUAGUACAUAUGGUAUGAAACAGGAGAAUGUUACAUAGUCAGAAGUGAAAUCUGUCAGGAGAGAAGCAGGCAGAGAACUAGUCUGACCUCCAAGGCCUGGGAGCAGGUUUUGUAAACAUGGUGAAGUCUCUAGAGGGAAGUGUAACAAUGAGAAGAGUGACCUAUAAAAGGGCCCAGAUGGAGCUCCUAAAGCUAAAUCCAUAGGAAGCAAAUUCACCUGACAGAUUUAACGGUUUUUACUAUAGCUUGAAGAUCUGUGAAUUUGAAAGUAAAGCACUAGAAAUCACCAAAUAAAAUC